UGUCCAGGGGCGGGAAUCGAACCCACACCCUUCUGCUUACCGGGCAGGUGCCUUGUCCACUCAAACUUAUUUUAAACUGGAU